rnacentral:lncRNA from 1 species
CUUAUAUUAAAUGUCGGUUGUACUCACGACUUGAAUAAUAAUACAUGUGGCUAUCAACGCACUUGUAAAUUCGUCCCAUCCAUCUACACCCAGUGCAUAAAUAGUUAAAUACAUAUGCAUGCUUCCAUGCUCAAUGAGUCAAUGGAUUACAAGAUAACUUUUAGCUGAGAGGAUAACAAUGGAAAAUGAUCUAGUCUGCCAGGGGUAGAAUAGAACCAGCGUCCAACAAGACCAUUGAUCAUUAGGGAUUAGGAUGCAUCAUGAAUUUAAGCAGUACAAUAUCAUACUAGUAGGAAACUUCGGUGUUCUGUACCGGCAUACACAUCUCUCUUACUCAUCUACCAACAAAAAGAGCAGUUCCACCAACACCAAGUCAUGUUGGUGAUAGCUGAAUAGCCUCGAAGAAUUCAACGACAUGAAUGCUGGUUGUGAUGCCUUUCCAACAAGUUGUGUUGCCGACGUAGCUGCUCCGGCUUGCUGUAGAUAUUCAUAGGUCAUUGACCUGUUCUACAUGCAGUCCAAACCACGCCUGCUCCUGGGUGUCCUGCAUUUUGUGGGAGAUUUUGUCGUGCAUUUAACCUCGUCGGUUCAAAUUCAGACUCAAAUUGGCUUUGCUCCAACACCUUGUAAACUUAUUUUUGAACUCCCCCGAGACUAUUUUUCCAAUUUGCACAGUACCAAAUCCAGCUUACAGCUGAAAGAAAAAACCACACUACACAAAUCCCGAUGGAAGACGAUAACACAUGAUAGAUAUAUAACCUAUUUGAAUGACGGUCCAUUAGUAGGAUAUAGGUGUUGGGUUUUGAACCGCUAGACCAAAUCACUCUGUAGCUGUGUACACGUACGUAAUGCAAAGCUAGCUUGUACUAGCUAGUCUGCUUCUGAUCGAUCUUCCAGCAAGCAACACCAAAUUCACACAUACGUACACGACGGCCGGAAAGCAAACUUUGAUCUCUCUUGAUCUGAUAUUGUAGCGAUUACAGGGGUUGCACUUAUAUAUACAUACGAGCCUAAAGGAUCAAUCCUACUCGGUAUAGUAAUCCUAUUCUACUCGGACAUGUACAUGAGCCGUGCUCGGACAGCGGGUUUAAUCCCAAUAUUCACCCCCUUAAACACGAUGUCUUUGUUGCUUUGUCUCCGGUGCUUGCACUCCGACUUUCUUCCUCAUCUCGAUGAACUUCUGUCGACCGAGGGACUUGGUGAAAAUAUCGGCAAGCUGGUCCUUCGUGUUCAUAUGUUGAACCUCGAUCAACCCUUCUUCAAUGCACUCCCGGAUAUGGUGGAACCGGGUAUCUAUGUGCUUGCUCCUUUCAUGAUGAACCGGAUUUUUACACAACGAGAUUGCAGCUUGGUUGUCAAUCUUUAAUGACACAUUCUGCACCUCCCGCUUUGCAAGAAUAGCUAGGAGUCUUCUCAGCCAAACUGCUUGACAAGCCGCCGUGCUUGCCGCUAUGUAUUCUGCCUCGCAUGAAGACAGUGCCACCACCUUUUGCUUCUGAGAAUUCCAGCUAAUCGGAUUCAGGCCAAGGUAGAAAACCAUGCCCGUUGUGCUCUUUCGGUCAUCAACAUCACCUGCCAUGUCACUAUCUGAAUAUCCACGAAGGAUCAAUCCUUCCUUUCCCUUUCUGUACGUGCAGCCAAGAUUAAUUGUGCCUUUCACAUAGCGUAGAAUUUGAUUAACCGCGCUCAUGUGUUCGGUUGUUGGUUUCUCCAUGAAACGACUCACGAUCCCGACUGAAUAAGCCAAGUCAGGUCGGGUAUGCACCAAAUAUCUUAGGCUGCCCACAACGCUUCGAUACAUUAUGGUGUCCACCGACGGAUUUGAGCUACGCUUGCUCAACUUGUGACGUUGGUCCAUUGGAACUUGUGUCGCGUAGCAAUCCGACAUGCCACACUUGUCCAAUAACUUGACCGCGUAAGCCGAUUGACAUAGGGAAAUCUCUCCGGAGCUUUGCUUCACUUCGAUGCCCAAGUAAUAGCUGAGUAAUCCCAGAUCACUCAUGCUAAACUUGUUCUUCAUUUGCGCCUUGAAACGUUCAAUUUCUUGUACGCUAUCUCCGGUGAUAAUCAGAUCGUCGACAUAAACUCCAACUAGCAGGUUUGAGCCUUUGGAGUUCUUUGUAUAGACUGCGUGCUCGAGGGGACAUCUCUUGAACCCGAGCAAGACCAGACUUCGGUCUAACUUUGAGUUCCAAGCUCUUGGCGCUUGCUUCAACCCGUAAAGUGCCUUCUUGAGCUUGUAAACUUUCCCUUCUUCGCCUUUCUUCUCGUAGCCGAGGGGUUGUUCCACGUACACUUCUUCUGUGAGAUCGCCGUUGAGGAAAGCGGAUUUAACAUCCAUAUGAUGAACCUUCCAAUCCUCUUGUGCUGCCAAAGCUAGGAGCACUCUCACCGUCUCGAUUCGAGCAACCGGUGCAAACACCUCAUCAUAGUCAACUCCUUGAUGUUGAACGUAGCCCUUUGCAACGAGUCUUGCCUUGUACUUCACAAUGGCACCCUCCGUGUCCUUCUUUAACUUGUAAACCCACUUCAAACCUAUCGUCUUUUGGUUUGGAGGUCGGGUUACCAAAGUCCACGUGUCAUUGCUCUCAAUUGCCUUCAUCUCCUCGUCCAUGGCGUGCGUCCAGCUAGGACUUUUGCUCGCCUCUACGAAGUUCGCCGGCUCCUCAACUCCGAACAGACAUAGUCCGGAGUACUCGAGCGUAACAGGCUUUGUGUACUUGUAGACUUUCUUGAGGGUCUUGUAGCGACGAGGCCCUGAGGAGUCCGUUGUGGCUUGCGAAGGAGGUGACACAAAUUGUGUCGGUGUGGAUGCACUUGAGGAAGACGGCUGAGACCCUGGUGUGUCAUCGACAUCCGUGUCGUCGGCGUAGUCGUCGUGACCGUGACCAUCAUCUUGAUUGUCGUCGUCACUAUGCGCCUCGUUGUCGAUGUUGUCGUCGAGAUCUCCGCCUGUGUCGUGCGCGGCAUUGUCGCUAUCUCCUUGCGACCUAUGCGCGUCGUCGUCGGUGUCGGCACCAUGAUGAUCACUACCAUUGUGGUCACCUUGGUUGGGCGUCUUGCCAAUCACCUGGACAUCCUCCCAUGCAUCAUCAUCAGUUGGAAAUUCAACUGCAAAUAUGUUACUGUUUGGAGCAUCGUCGGCUGCGGCGCUCCAAUUCCACGCUUGGUUUUCUUCAAACACGACGUCGCGUGAAAUCCGUAGACGCUUGGUUUGUGGAUCGUAGAAACGGUACGCCUUGGUGCCAAAACUGCUCUCGUAUCCGAUGAACACCAUCUUGGUGCUACGAUCGGCAAGCUUUGAGAGGUGCGGCUCCGCCGUCUUCACAUGUGCCACGCACCCGAAUGUCCGUAGAUGAGACACAUUCGGCUUACGUCCGUAAAUUGCUUCAUACGGAGUCUUGCCGAUCACCGCCUUCGUUGGAGCCCGGUUGAGAAGAUAGACCGCCGUCGAGACAGCUUCUCCUCAAAAAGUCCCUGGCGGGUUCUUGCUCUUGAGUAAACUCCUUGCCAUGUCAACGACGGUUCGAUUGCGCCUUUCAACGACCCCAUUCUGCUGCGGCGUGUAAGGUGCCGUGAGGAACCUCUUUAUGCCAAUCUUCUCGCAGUAGUCGUUGAACUCAUUCGACGUAAACUCUCCGCCGCGAUCUGUCCGUAGAGCGCGAACCUUCAGCUUGUGUUCCAUCUCUGUUGCAGCCUUCAGCUUCUUGAAUGCUUCAAACGCCUCAUCUUUAGACCGUAGGAGAACGACCCACGUAUAUCUCGAGUAGUCGUCUACCACAAGGAAGAAAUACUUCUUUCCAGCGUGAGUUGCCGGGGUGAUAGGGCCACAUAGAUCACCAUGGAGCAGCUCGAGUGCAUCACUUGCACGAAAGGUAGACUGAGCAGGGAAUGGCCUGCGGUGCUGUUUUCCAACCAAGCACCCGUCACAUACUCGAUCAAUAUGGUCGAUAACUGGCAUCCCGGAUACCAUCUCCAUCUUUGACAUCUUCUUCAAGGCGUAGAAGUUAACGUGUCCAAAUCUAGCAUGCCAUAACCACGAAUCAUCAUCACUCUUGGCGAGCCAACACUCCGGUUGAGAUUGAUCAAGGUUGAGGAUAUAUAGCCUAUUCCGUGUGCGAUUAACACGAGCUAGCACGUUUCGGAGGUUGUCGAAGAUCGUCAUCACUCCGCUCUCGAUAUUCACCUUGCAUCCAUUCUCAUCAAGCUUCCCAAUAGAGAUGAUGUUGUUGCGCAGCCGUGGGAUGUAGUACAUUCCGGUGAGUAUGCGAUGUUCGCCUGCGAGACCCUCAAAGAGGACAGAUCCUUGCCCGCAAAUCUCCACAGCUGAACCAUCACCGAACUUGACCAAGCCUUCAACAUCGCAUUCCAGCUCGAGGAAUUUCUCCUUGCACCCCGUCAUGUGGUUACUGGCACCCGUGUCGAGAUACCACGACACGUUCUGAUCACCGGAUAACUUUGGUGUCACUUUUUCCUCAUGAAGUAGCACCUUCCGGCUUGGUUUCACAACCACCGUUUCAGCGAGAUCACAAACUUCGGCCAUCAGAAGACCUGGACCUUCGUCUUCCUGCUUUGCCAAAUUUGCCUUGAUCUCCCGCUUGUUAGGCUUUGGACAAUCCUUCGCAAAGUGACCCAUCUUAUUGCAGUUAUAGCACUUGACCUCGGACAAGUCCAAGUUCCGUGGUUUCUGCUCUUUAGAUUGGCCCGCCUUACCACGACCUUGUGGUUUGCCUUUUCCUUUGCCUUUUCCGGUUUGUCCAUCACCCUUUGUGUUGCUUGAGCCUUCGCCACCGUCACGCCUUCCUUUGCUACUUGGGGCCUCCCAAUCUGCGCGCGAGUACAUGAGUUGGUCACUACCUCCUCCUUUGCCUUUCCGACAGCCACGAGCAUUCUCUUCCCAUGUCCGCAAUCGUCCGAUCGCCUCCGUUAUGGUCAUGUCGUCGAUGUCGUAAAGCUGCUCGAGCGUGCCGAUGAUGUACGUGAAUUUAUCAGUGACUGAACUGAAAAACUUCUCCACGAUCUCGGUCUCAUCGAGCUUUGCACCAAGCGCGCGGAUCUCUCCCACCAAAGUAGUAAGACGCAUGGCAUAGUCAUUCACCGAUUCAGUUUCCUCCAUCUGCAACUUGUGAAAUUGGCGCUUCAGCACUUGUGCCCGAGCCUUGGUGACGCGAUCUUCUCCGAUCCUCAUCUCCUUGAGUGCGUUCCACGCCUCUCUUGCCGUCUCGAACUCCGCCAAUGUCAUCAGCACGGAAUCCGGCACAGACUGGGCUAUGGCGGCCAUGGCACCUUCGUCGCGCUCCUCGUCGACGUCGUCGUCCGUGAUGGCCUCCCACACUCGAAGGGAUCGAAGAAUAAUAUUCAUCUUCACCGCCCACACGCCGUAGUUGGCGUCGGUGAGCAUCGGGUACUGGAUGGGGAUGUUGCGAUGCGCCUGGACGUUAGCGCCGCUCGUUCCUCCACCACUGGUUGCUGACCUGACGCCCUUCUUCACCUUGUCGCCGUUCUUGUUCGCCUUGGCACCGCCGCUGCCGGACUUGACCGACUCAGCGUCGCUGUCCGUCAUCGUAGAUCGUAGAUCGUCGAGGCUCUAGAUACCAAUUGUUGGGUUUUGAACCGCUAGACCAAAUCACUCUGUAGCUGUGUACACGUACGUAAUGCAAAGCUAGCUUGUACUAGCUAGUCUGCUUCUGAUCGAUCUUACAGCAAGCAACACCAAAUUCACACGUACGUACACGACGGCCGGAAAGCAAACUUUGAUCUCUCUUGAUCUGAUAUUGUAGCGAUUACAGGGGUUGCACUUAUAUACACAUACGAGCCUAAAGGAUCAAUCCUAUUCGGUAUAGUAAUCCGAUUCUACUCGGACAUGUACAUGAGCCGUGCUCGGACAGCGGGUUUAAUCCCAAUAAUAGGUGUAGGCCUUGUGUCCUAGUUUUGUCGGUUAUGAAUGUUUUAUUUCUUUUUUUGUUUUGUUUGUGUAUUUGAGAUGUUGCUCGUACUUUGGUACUUCGUUCGGUAAAAUAAAUAGUCGUGUG